GGAAUCUGGUGCGCUUCUGACGGACCUUGAAAAGAGGGGGGAAAGGUGUUAUUUACACCCCUGGCCGUACCAUUAACCGGUUCAUGUCUCCAGGGUUAGCAGCCCCUGGUCGAUAGAAGAACGUAGAUAAAGGAAGUCGGUAAAAUGGAUCCGUAACUUCGGGGAAAGGACUGGCUAUGAGGACUGAGUGUAUAGCGCCAGUGUGUUCAUCGUCGGUCAGAGCUGCGCGGGCCCGUUCGUGCUUCGCGGCGCGUCUGUGGAUCGUUGGC
rnacentral:ncRNA from 1 species